rnacentral:rRNA from 1 species
GACAGAGGGUGCAAACGUUGCUCGGAAUUACUGGGCGUAAAGGGCGUGUAGGCGGGAAGGCAAGUCGGGCGUGAAAUCCCCAGGCUCAACUUGGGAACUGCACUCGAAACUGCCUUUCUUGAGUGCCGGAGAGGAAAGCGGAAUUCCUGGUGUAGAGGUGAAAUUCGUAGAUAUCAGGAGGAACACCAGUGGCGAAGGCGGCUUUCUGGACGGUAACUGACGCUGAGACGCGAAAGCGUGGGAGCAAACAGG